AGUGAACGCUGGCGGUAGGCCUAACACAUGCAAGUCGAACGGCAGCACAGUAAGAGCUUGCUCUUACGGGUGGCGAGUGGCGGACGGGUGAGGAAUACAUCGGAAUCUACUUUUUCGUGGGGGAUAACGUAGGGAAACUUACGCUAAUACCGCAUACGACCUACGGGUGAAAGCAGGGGAUCUUCGGACCUUGCGCGAUUGAAUGAGCCGAUGUCGGAUUAGCUAGUUGGCGGGGUAAAGGCCCACCAAGGCGACGAUCCGUAGCUGGUCUGAGAGGAUGAUCGGCCCCCCUGGACCUGGGCCCCGGCCAGACUCCUACGGGAGGCAGCAGUGGGGAAUAUUGGACAAUGGGCGCAAGCCUGAUCCAGCCAUACCGCGUGGGUGAAGAAGGCCUUCGGGUUGUAAAGCCCUUUUGUUGGGAAAGAAAAGCAGCAGGUUAAUACCCCGCUGUUCUGACGGUACCCAAAGAAUAAGCACCGGCUAACUUCGUG
rnacentral:rRNA from 1 species